CCGAAUCAGCGCCGAAUCAGGCAACACUGAUCAGCGCAGAUCUCGAGCGGCAGUUACCCACAAUUAUCAAACAGUUUUUGUGUACCACUAGAUCCCGAAAGUCUGUGAACGUUCGUGAUGUCGCACACAAACUGUUGUAUCGUUAACUGUACAAACACAUACAAGAACUGCCCGCCAGGUACGAGGUUUUUCAGUUUCUCGACGAGGACGUGUCUACAGCACCAGCGAGAACAGUGGAUUCGCUGUGUACGUCGCGUGAAUGCCCGUGGAACAGAAUGGCAACCAUCCAAAUGGUCAAAGAUAUGCAGCUCUCACUUUGUUGGCGGUCAACCAUCGACAGAUCGUUCGUCACCGGCCUACAUGCCGACCAUCUUUCCGUCGUCGUACCGCAAUGCCUCUACCACUACGAUAGCUGAGGACAAAAUGUCCCGCUAUAAACGUUGGAGAAAAAGGGCGUACGGCGAAGGCCAAGUCGUGCGCUGUAGUGACGUACAAG